CUACAGACUGCACCUUUGGCUGCAGUAGCCAGCAGCAGCCUGGUACAUCUGAAGGCAUCUAGUGAGCAAGGGGGCACAAUGCCACCUCGGACUCCCAUCGAGAUCCCCCAACCCAGGAUAUACCCAGACCUCUAUGCAGGUAGAAAGUUCCUGCAUGUUUUUUUCCUUUGCUGUUCCGUAUUCUUUUUAAAAUUUCUAUCCCUUCCUCUCUCCAGUGACUGCACCUAUGGCUGCAGUGGCCAGGAGCAGCCUGGUACAUCUUUAGGCACCUAGUGAGCAAGUGGGCAUACUGCUUCCACUAAUUCUCAUCCAGACCCCCCAGUCCAAGAUCCACCCAGAUGCCUAAGCAGGUAUAAAUUCCUCCAUUUUUUUUCACUUCUUUACUGUCCCCCAUUCUUUUGUAAAUUCUUUCCUCUCCCUCUCUACUCAGAGUGUGCCUUUUCCUGCAGCAGCCUGGUACAUCUGAAGGGAAUUGGUGAGCAAAGGGGCACACUGCAUGCACUUAUUCCCAAUGAGAUCCCUCAGGUCAGGAUCCACCCAGACCCCUAGGCAGGUAGAAAGUUCCUCCAUUUUUUUUUUCUCUUCUUGACUGUCUGUCAUUCUUUUGUAAAUUCCUUCCUCUCUGUCUCUCCACAGACUGCACUUUUGUCUGCAGUAGCCUGAUACAUCUGAAGGCACCUAGUGAGCAAAGGGGGACAUAACCCCCACUGAGAACCAUCCACACUCCCCAGUGCAGGAUCCACCCAGACACCUAGGAGGGUAGAAAGUUCCUCUAUUUUUUUCUCUUCUUUACUGUCCCCAUUCUUUAGUAAAUCCCAUCCACUGUGUCUCUCCACAGACUGUCUCUUUGGCUACAGCAUCCUGGUACAACUGAAGGCAACUGGCUAGGAAGAGAGCACACCGCCCCCACUGAUCUCGAUCCAGACCCCCCAGUCCAGGUUCCCUCCAGACCCCACAGUAGACUGCACCUUUGGCUACAGUAGCCAGCUGCAUCCUAGUACAUCAUUAGGCAGCUGGCGAGCAAGAGGGCACACUGCUGCCACAGAUUCCCAUACAGACCCCCCAGUCCAGGAUCCACCUGACCCCUAAGCAGGUAGAAAGUUCCUACAUUUUUCUUUCUCUUCUUUACUGUCCCCCAUUCUUUUGUAAAUUCCUUCCUCUCAGUCUGUACACAGACUGCUUCUUUGGCUACAGCAGCCUGGUACAUCUGAAGACACCUGGCAAGCAAGGGAACACACUCCCUGCACUCAUUCCCAUCCAGACCACUCAGUCAGAGA